GUUAGUUAAAUCCAUUUCGGAAGUUUGUGUCUAAGUUUGUUUUGGAAUCACUUCAAGCAAAAACUUUAUUAUGCUAAUCUAAUGGAAGACAAAGGCAUGCAUGCCCAAUUUAAAGUGGGAUUGGCUGGAAUAAAGCUGGGUUAACGAGCAGUUCACGCAUAUCAACAACAAUAAAAACCCUUGGAAAUCACUGGAAGAAGUGGAAGUUGAGCAGCUGUCGACUGGCUGGCGCAUGACAAAGGACAAAGCAAAAGAGAGAGAGAUAGUUUGAUAGAGGAGAGGAGGAGAGAGGACAGAACAAUUGACGAUCGCCUUGAUGUCAGCUGUGGCGCGUGCAGAAGCAGCACUCCCUCCCCUCCCCAUCCUCCUUCCACUUCCCUUUCCUUACCAUAAACAGUACUCAAAAAGAGGGCGGCUGUAAGCAAAAUAAAAGAUGUGUUUUUUUUACUUUGCUGCAUAGCUAAAACCGUUAA
rnacentral:sRNA from 1 species